rnacentral:rRNA from 1 species
GAUGAACGCUGGCGGCGUGCCUAAUACAUGCAAGUCGAGCGAACGGACGAGAAGCUUGCUUCUCUGAUGUUAGGGGCGGACGGGUGAGUAACACGUGUAUAACCUACCUAUAAGACUGGGAUAACUUCGGGAAACCGGAGCUUAUACCGUAUAAUAUCUUGAACCGCAUGGUUGAAAAGUGAAAGACGGCGUUGCUGUCACUUAUAGAUGCAUCCCGGCUGCAUUAGCUAGUUGUUAAGGUAAAGGGUUACCACGGCAACUAUGCGUAGACGACGUGAUAGGGUGGUAGGCCACCCUGGAGCUGAGCCACGGACCAGGCGCCUACGAUAGGCAGCAGUAGGGAAUCUGCCGCAGUGGGCGAGAGUCUGACGGAGCAGCGCCGCGUGAGUGGUGGAGGUCUUCGGAUCGUAAUACUGUGUUAUUAGUGGAGAACAUAUGUGUAAGUAACUGUGCACAUCUUGACGGUACCUAAUCAGAAAGCCACGGCUAACUACGUG